rfam:Medicago truncatula strain A17 chromosome 5, whole genome shotgun sequence.
AAACCGCCCCCUAAGUUUUGCAACUGUAUCAGUUUUGGCCCCCAAAGUCAAUUUUUGAUUAAAAAAAUAACACGUGGCACCUCACUUAGGGUGCCACGUCAGCGUAGAUCAAGUCAAAAUUGGCCUUGGGAGCCAAAACUGCCACAGAUGCAAAACUUAGGGGGCGAUUU